rnacentral:rRNA from 1 species
GACGAACGCUGGCGGCGCGCUUAACACAUGCAAGUCGAACGGAAAGGCCUGCUUUCCCUUGUGGAUUGCGGGUACUCGAGUGGCGAACGGGUGAGUAACACGUGAGUGAUCUGCCCCCAACUUGGGUAUAAGCCUGGGAAACUGGGUCUAAUUCCCGAUAGGACUGCAGGGUGGUGCCUGUGGUGGAAAACGAUUUUCUAGUGGUUGGGGAUGAGCUCGCGGCCUAUCAGCUUGUUGGUGGGGUAAUGGCCUACCAAGGCGGCGACGGGUAGCCGGCCUGGGAGGGUGGACGGCCACAUUGGGACUGAGAUACGGCCCAGACUCCUACGGGAGGCAGCAGUGGGGAAUAUUGCACAAUGGGCGGAAGCCUGAUGCAGCGACGCCGCGUGGGGGAUGACGGCCUUCGGGUUGUAAACUCCUUUCAACCGCGAGGAAGCCACCUGGUUGGAAGGGUGGUGACGGUAGUGGUAGAAGAAGCACCGGCUAACUACGUG